rnacentral:rRNA from 1 species
AGUACGGCGAGUGANGCGGCANCAGCUCAANUUUGAAAUCUGGCCCUCGGGUCCGAGUUGUAAUUUGUAGAGGAUGCUUUUGGCGCGGUGCCUUCCGAGUUCCCUGGAACGGGACGCCAUAGAGGGUGAGAGCCCCGUCUGGUUGGACACCAAGCCUCUGUAAAGCUCCUUCGACGAGUCGAGUAGUUUGGGAAUGCUGCUCUAAAUGGGAGGUAUAUGUCUUCUAAAGCUAAAUAUAGGCCAGAGACCGAUAGCGCACAAGUAGAGUGAUCGAAAGAUGAAAAGCACUUUGAAAAGAGAGUUAAAUAGCACGUGAAAUUGUUGAAAGGGAAGCGCUUAUGACCAGACUUGGGCUUGGUUGAUCAUCCCGCGUUCUCGCGGGUGCACUCUUCCGGCUCAGGCCAGCAUCAGUUCGUCGCGGGGGAAAAAGGCGUCGGGAAUGUGGCUCCCCCGGGAGUGUUAUAGCCCUUCGUGAAAUACCCUGCGGUGGACUGAGGACCGCGCUUCGGCAAGGAUGCUGGCGUAAUGGUCAUCAGCGACCCGUCUUGAAACACGGACCAAGGAGUCGUCUUCGUAUGCGAGUGUUCGGGUGUCAAACCCCUACGCGUAAU